AGUGAACGCUGGCGGUAUGCCUAACACAUGCAAGUCGAACGGCAGCACAGUAAGCGCUUGCUCUUACGGGUGGCGAGUGGCGGACGGGUGAGGAAUACAUCGGAAUCUACUUUUUCGUGGGGGAUAACGUAGGGAAACUUACGCUACUACCGCAUACGACCUACGGGUUAAAGCAGUGGUUCUUCGGACCUUGCGCGAUUGAAUGAGCCGAUGUCGGAUUAGCUAGUUGGCGGGGUAAAGGCCCACCAAGGCGACGAUCCGUAGCUGGUCUGAGAGGAUGAUCAGCCACACUGGAACUGAGACACGGUCCAGACUCCUACGGGAGGCAGCAGUGGGGAAUAUUGGACAAUGGGCGAAAGCCUGAUCCAGCCAUACCGCGUGAGUGAAGAAGGCCUUCGGGUUGUAAAGCCCUUUUGUUGGGAAAGAAAAGCAGCAGAUUAAUACCCCGCUGUUCUGACGGUACCCAAAGAAUAAGCACCGGCUAACUUCGUG
rnacentral:rRNA from 1 species